rnacentral:rRNA from 1 species
GUAGGUGGCAAGCGUUGUCCGGAAUUAUUGGGCGUAAAGCGCGCGCAGGCGGUUCUUUAAGUCUGAUGUGAAAGCCCACGGCUCAACCAUGGAGGGUCAUUGGAAACUGGAGAACUUGAGUACAGAAGAGGAAAGCGGAAUUCCACGUGUAGCGGUGAAAUGCGUAGAGAUGUGGAGGAACACCAGUGGCGAAGGCGGCUUUCUGGUCUGUAACUGACGCUGAGGCGCGAAAGCGUGGGGGAGCAAACAGGAUUAGAUACCCUGGUAGUCCACGCCGUAAACGAUGAGUGCUAAGUGUUAGGGGGUUUCCGCCCCUUAGUGCUGCAGCUAACGCAUUAAGCACUCCGCCUGGGAGUACGGCCGCAAGGCUG